rnacentral:rRNA from 1 species
UAACACAUGCAAGUCGAACGAAGCAAUCAGGAGGAAGUUUUCGGAUGGAAUCCUGGUUGACUGAGUGGCGGACGGGUGAGUAACGCGUGGAUAACCUGCCUCACACUGGGGGAUAACAGUUAGAAAUGGCUGCUAAUACCGCAUAAGCGCACAGUACCGCAUGGUACGGUGUGAAAAACCCAGGUGGUGUGAGAUGGAUCCGCGUCUGAUUAGCCAGUUGGCGGGGUAACGGCCCACCAAAGCGACGAUCAGUAGCCGACCUGAGAGGGUGACCGGCCACAUUGGGACUGAGACACGGCCCAAACUCCUACGGGAGGCAGCAGUGGGGAAUAUUGCACAAUGGGCGCAAGCCUGAUGCAGCGACGCCGCGUGAGUGAAGAAGUAUCUCGGUAUGUAAAGCUCUAUCAGCAGGGAAGAAAAUGACGGUACCUGACUAAGAAGCCCCGGCUAACUACGUGCCAGCAGCCGCGGUAAUACGUAGGGGGCAAGCGUUAUCCGGAUUUACUGGGUGUAAAGGGAGCGUAGACGGCGACGCAAGUCUGGAGUGAAAGCCCGGGGCCCAACCCCGGGACUGCUUUGGAAACUGUGUUGCUGGAGUGCAGGAGAGGUAAGUGGAAUUCCUAGUGUAGCGGUGAAAUGCGUAGAUAUUAGGAGGAACACCAGUGGCGAAGGCGGCUUACUGGACUGUAACUGACGUUGAGGCUCGAAAG